rnacentral:rRNA from 1 species
AUUUAGGAAACAGAUGCUAAUACCGGAUAAAAGCUACUUUCGCAUAGAAAGAAGUUUAAAAGGCGGCGUAAAGCUGUCGCUAAAGGGAUGGGACCUGCGAUGCAUUAGCUAGUUGGUAAGGUAACGGCUUACCAAGGCGAUGAUGCAUAGCCGAGUUGAGAGACUGAUCGGCCACAUUGGGGACUGAGACACGGCCCAAAACUCCUACGGGGAGGCAGCAGUAGGGAAUCUUCCACAAUGGACGAAAGUCUGAUGGAGCAACGCCGCGUGAGUGAAGAAGGUUUUCGGAUCGUAAAAGCUCUGUUGUUGGUGAAGAAGGAUAGAGGUAGUAACUGGCCUUUAUUUGACGGUAAUCAACCAGAAAGUCACGGCUAACUACGUGCCAGCAGCCGCGGUAAU